AUCUUAUUCGUAACCCAUAUCUC
rnacentral:snRNA from 1 species